UACAGAGGGUGCAAGCGUUGUUCGGAAUUAUUGGGCGUAAAGGGCGCGUAGGCGGUGCGGUAAGUCUUUUGUGAAAUCUCCGGGCUCAACUCGGAGUCUGCAGGAGAAACUGCCGUGCUUGAGUAUGGGAGAGGUGAGUGGAAUUCCUGGUGUAGCGGUGAAAUGCGUAGAUAUUGGGAAGAACACCAGCGGCGAGAGCGCGCUACUGGGCCAUAACUGACACUCAUGGACGAAAGCUAGGGGAGCGAAAGGG
rnacentral:rRNA from 1 species